rnacentral:rRNA from 1 species
GUGGGGAAUAUUGGACAAUGGGCGAAAGCCUGAUCCAGCCAUGCCGCGUGUGUGAAGAAGGUCUUCGGAUUGUAAAGCACUUUAAGUUGGGAGGAAGGGCAGUAAGUUAAUACCUUGCUGUUUUGACGUUACCGACAGAAUAAGCACCGGCUAACUUCGUGCCAGCAGCCGCGGUAAUACGAAGGGUGCAAGCGUUAAUCGGAAUUACUGGGCGUAAAGCGCGCGUAGGUGGUUUUGUAAGUUGGAGGUGAAAUCCGCGGGCUCAACCUGGGAACUGCCUCCAAAACUGCAUGACUAGAGUACGGUAGAGGGUAGUGGAAUUUCCUGUGUAGCGGUGAAAUGCGUAGAUAUAGGAAGGAACACCAGUGGCGAAGGCGACUACCUGGACUGAUACUGACACUGAGGUGCGAAAGCGUGGGGAGCAAACAGGAUUAGAUACCCCAGUAGUCC